ensembl:lncRNA
CUCGCAACUCGCUGUUAAAUAUGAACGUAUCUCAAGCUAUAUUAGACUUAUUUGAAAAAUUAAAAAAUAUAAAAAAAGAAAACUGUAUUUUGAAUGUCAGAAAGGGAUAUUAUAAUAAUAAAACGAAUGAUUCCGGUUAUGUUGAUAAAAAAGGUGACUCAUUUAAUAGAGGGUUUUGUUAUGAAGACCAUGACGACAAUGAUGAGGAUACGAUGUAUAAUAACCUGUUUAGUCUCGAAAACGAGCAAGAAAAAGAGAAAGAAAAGGAGAAAGAGAAAGAGAAAGAGAAAGAAAAGGAAAAGGAGAAAGAGAAAGAAAAAGAAAAAGAAGAAGAAAAGAUAACAGAAGAUGAUAAAAAGAAGAAUAUAAAAAUCAAAAAAGAUGAAUAUAAAAUAUACAGAUGGACAAUGGACGAUGUAAAUAAUGAUCUAUUUGGUAUUAAAAAAAAAAACAAAAAUGAUAAAACAGAUGAUAAUUCACAAAAUGAUAAACCAAACUCUGGUUCAUUAUCUUUUAUAAAUAACAAACUGAAUGAUAAUUUUAACACUUUUAAAAAUGAUAAUAAUCAAUUAUUUAUACCGUUAAAUAAAAUGUGUGUUAAUGACAUUUAUUUAAAUUUUCCUUCUUACAUAUAUGUAUCUAAAAAUUUUAUAAAUUAUGAUUUNNNNNNNNNNNNNNNNNNNNNNNNNNNNNNNNNNNNNNNNNNNNNNNNNNNNNNNNNNNNNNNNNNNNNNNNNNNNNNNNNNNNNNNNNNNNNNNNNNNNUUUCCUUCUUACAUAUAUGUAUCUAAAAAUUUUAUAAAUUAUGAUUUUAUUAAUACUAAAAAUACUAAAAAAUUAAAAAACGUUAUGAUGGUUGUUGAAUGUGUUCAUAAUAAUAUAAACAGUAUGAAUCAAUCAAUAAUAAAUAAUAUGGACAAAAACAGUAACUAUGAUAUAUAUGCGGAAAAAGAAUAUUUAAAAAAAGUAUGGGAAACAUUUGAAGAUAACAAAAUAAAUGAAAUUAUUAAUAUAUUGGAUAUAAAUCCGUUUAAAUAUACAUACGAUUUGGAAAAAAUGAUAAAAAAUUAUUUUGAAAAAAAUAGUAGUACACCAAAUUUCUUAAAUUUUACAAAUAUAUUAAAUAAAUUGGAAUUAUAUUUUAGUAAUAAAAAUAAAAAAUAUAUUAUUUUAAGUUUACAAGAAGCAGAAACAUUGCGGUAUUAUAUUCACAAAAAGAAAAACGUUGAAAAAAUGCUUAGUGCUAUACGCGAUGAUGCUAUGUAUUCUGAAAUAAACCUUCAUCGUAGUUCUUCGUUAAUAAGAGAUUGUGCCUCAAAUGGGUAUUAUGAAAGUAGCAACAUAGUACAGAUAGAUAAAGAGUUAGGAGGUGGGUAUAAACAUGUGAGUGAGCACGGACAUGAUGAGAAAACUGAGGUUGACAUUUUUUCUAAUGCAUGGGUAAACGUCAAUGCUAAUGCUACUACAGAUGCUCGUGUUACUACAGAUGCUCGUGUUACUACAGAUGCUCGUGNNNNNNNNNNAGAUGCUCGUGUUACUACAGAUGCUCGUGUUACUACAGAUGCUCGUGCUACUACAGAUGCUCGUGCUACUACAGAUGCUCGUGCUACUACAGAUGCUCGUGCUACUACAGAUGCUCGUGCUACUACAGACACUUCUAAGAAAGACAGCUUUAGUAAUAACUUGAAUAUGUUAAAUAUUUUUUAUCAAACAGAUGAACACAAUAAUAAAACUUUAGAUGAUAAUAGUGGUAAUAUAUAUACUGAUGAAUUAAGCGGGUGCCUAAAUGACGAAUUAAUUAAAGAAGAUACAGCGGCUUCUGUAUGGGGUUUGGAUGAAGACCUCGAUAAAAUAGUAUUAGAUUUUAACAGUAUUGAUAAAUUGAACAACGACAAGAGUGAUGUAACUCCUAGUGUGAUCAAUCAGGUUAACGAAGAGAAAAUCUUAGAACCCAAUAUCACCAACACUAACACCAACAGCAACGCUACCAACAACACCAACAACACCAACAACACUACCAACAACACCAACAACAACAACAACACCACUACCAACAACAAUAUAAUUGAGAUAAAAGAAGAAAAAAAAAAAAAAAGAGCAAACAAGAAUUAUGAAAAAAUAUUAAAAUUGUUAAAUAUAUUUGAAAAAGAAAAAAAAAAGAUUAUAGAAGACGGCAAUGUUGCUAACGCUUUACAUAUCUUUAAUGAUGUAAAUAUAAAUAUUUAUAAUUAUAGUUUUUGGUUUACACCUGUUGAGAUAUCAGAUAAAAAUAAUUUAAGAAAAUAUAUAUCAAGACAAAUUCAAAUCGUUUAUAGUGUUUGUAAAUUUUUUAAUUCGGACACGAAAUUUAUUGAUGCUCACGUUAAUUUGCUAUUACAGUUUUUAAAUUUUAAUAGUCCACAACAUCGCUUCACUUAUUUUAAUGAGUUGUAUUUAUUAAGAAGGGUUGUAAAAAAUAAAUGGACAGGUAGCUGUGGCGGAAUGACAGGCGUCAACUCUUAUCCUACAUACUACUAUGGACAGUCUUCUUCCAAAUUUGUAGAAAACAAAUAUAUAAAUAUAAAUGAUAAUAAAAAAAUGGAACUUGAGUUUCUUGAAAAAAGGUUAUUUGAAGGUAAUGGAGAUAUUUAUGCUUUUAAACUUAUGCAAGAAACAGUAAGACAAUGUUUAAUAAAAAAACAAUUAACUUUAGAAACCAUUUUUAAUAAAGAAUUGAAUUAUAUAUGUACAACUCAAGAUAUACAGAUUUUAUUUGAUUUUUUAAACAUUUAUGAUCCUCAUUAUAUAAAUGUACUACUGGAUAUUUUAGGAAAAAAUAUAUCACUACAAGAAUUAUGUUUUACAUUAAAUCCAAUAGAUGAUAAACAAAAAAAAAUUGAUUAUAAAAAAGAUAUAUGGCCAAUAGAUAGUAAUAAUAUUACUACUAACGUAAAAAAAUAUGAUACAGAUUUUAUUAAAGGUGUUGAUAGUUGUUUAAAAAAAUUUAAAUUUAAUUUGGUAGAACAUACAAAUUUUAAGUUAGUAUGGGCAGGCAAAAUAUGCAAUGAGCGAAUAGUUCAGGAUGUGGAAAAAGACGUGAUUUCUGGAAAAGUAGGAAAUGUCAUUAGUUCUAGUAGCUAUACAAAUGGUAACAUAUAUAGCGAUAAUAAUGUCUAUAAUGGUGGUAGUAGUGGUGCUAACUACGGCACUGUUAUUAAUUACAGUAGUGGUAAUAACAAACCAAAUGAGCAAAAACAAACAAAACCUGACUCGAUACGUGGAAUGGGUAAUAAUUUAAUAAAUGACGUUUUUGAUAUAAAUAAUUUUCAUACAAAUGAAAAUAAUCAUUUUUAUUCUGAACAAAAUAUAAGUCAUCUAAAAGCUGUAAAUGAACCAUUUUAUAUAUAUGAAGUUGAAAAUAUUGAUCCAAAAGAUAGAGGAAUAAUGAGUAAAAAUAAACAAAAAAUACCAGUUGGGUAUUAUAUAUCUAACAAAGCAGUUGAUAAUAUAUUUUUUAUAAUAGAAAUGACAGAUACCUCUAUAAAUAGUAUGUAUACAAGCAGUUCUGCACAAGAAAUAUUAACAUUAUUAUUCCCUCACCCCAAAAAAUAUUUACUACUAUGGCAUGAAGAUUAUUCUACGAAAAGUGUAGAUGAAUGCUUACAUAUAUGGAAACCGCUUCUUUCUUCUAAUAAAAUCACGAGUACAAAAUUUUUAGGUUUUGUUGCAACACAAGGUCCUAACAUACCACCAUUAAACAAAAUUAGAGCAGUUCCUAAAUCACUAAUCACAAAUAUCAAUCAAAAAAAUUGAACAACUUUUUACUCGGAUAAUAGUUUUUUUUUUGAAAAUUCAGGUGUACAAGGGAACUUGAAUGUUCCUUUUUAUUGGAAACAAAAAAAAAAAAAAAAAAUAAAAUAAAAAAAAUAAAAAAAAAACUCGUGUGG